rnacentral:rRNA from 1 species
CAGCAGCCGCGGGAAUACGUAGGGCCCGAGCGUUGUCCGGAAUCAUUGGGCGUAAAGCGCGUGUAGGCGGCUUGGUAAGUUAGAGGUGAAAGCCUGGAGCUCAACUCCAGAAUUGCCUUUAAGACUGCCGAGCUAGCAGGUGAGAGAGGUAAGUGGAAUUCCGAGUGUAGAGGUGAAAUUCGUAGAUAUUCGGAAGAACACCAGUGGCGAAGGCGGCUUACUGGCUCAUACUGGACGCUGAGGUGCGAAAGCGUGGGGAGCAAACAGGAUUAGAUACCCCGGUAGUCCCUGUCUCUUAUAC